UACGUAGGUGGCGAGCGUUAUCCGGAAUUACUGGGCGUAAAGCGCACGCAGGCGGUUUCUUAAGUUUGACGUGAAAACUCCUGGCUUAACUGGGAGAGGUCGUUGAAGACUGGGGAACUUGAGGCAAUGAGAGGGAUGUAGAAUUCACGGUGUAGUGGUGGAAUGCGUAGAUAUCGUGAGGAAUACCAGUGGCGAAAGCGACAUCCUGGCAUUAGCCUGACGCUCAUGUGCGAAAGCGUGGGGAGCGAAC
rnacentral:rRNA from 1 species